UGAUAGUAGUAAUUAUUUUUCUGUUAAAUUUGGUUCGUGAUGAAAUGUAGUACUUAGUUUGCAUUAAUUAUGGUUGAUUCCAUCCAAAUUUGAGCUUGUUUGUAUGUAAUUUGCAGGUUGAUGGUGCUAAAAUUUCUUGUGGAUUUGAACAAGAUACUUAAAUGAGCUUACAUUUCUUCAAAUUGUGAAUGGUUUAUGGAUGCAUCAAAGGGAAUACCCACAACAAUACAUCAAGAUAUUACCUGAAAUACACUAAUAAGCAAACACUAUUUGGUUGGAAGAUAGAAAAAUCAAUUCCAAGUGCAGUACAUAAGUCCCGAUUGGCCUUUAUAUUAAGAAACUCAAU